rnacentral:lncRNA from 1 species
GCGCACGUCCUAUUCACCGAAAGGCAACAAAACUAAAUCCCGCAAAUCUGGAGUACCCUGUGGGCAUCACUGGGCAUCACGUCUACGAGCGCAACCACUGCUCCUCGCCACAUGCGCCCAAACGUCCUCCUAACGUGCAUUCGUUCUGUGCUCUUGCCAACCCAACUACCCCGUGACUAGUAUGUAUGUCCCAACUUGCACUGCGCCCGCCAUACCACGGCAUCUCUCAACCAACGUCCGUGCAUGCGCGGCCCCGUCCUGGCCCGCUCUCGCGCCCAACAGACAGCUAGCGAGCCUACCCCCUCGGCGCCCGCUCCGCCCUAGAAUCCCCGCCACGUCUCCUCGAUGAUGGUGCACUCAACUCUCGCGCUCGAUGACAAUUCUUCUUCCUUCUUCUCUGCUCAGCGGCACCCAGGGCUGCCGGCUUUGUGCGCCCAUGGGCGGCAAGACCCACGACCGGCAGCCCUGAGGCCCCGUGCACUAUCUGCAUGCUUGGCCAUGCCUCCUGCACCACCCCUCAUUGAGCACACGCACUACCUGUGGCGGGCCUCUCCUGCAGGCGCGUCCAUCGGGUACUCCCCCUCCCUUACGGGGAACGACGAAACACAUCAACACCGACGCACCCCCCAAACACCUCGCCAGUGCAACCCCUGUACCGUGGCGUGCCCCUCGCGGCCAGCCGCGUCACGGCCCCCUAAAGCUGGGCGGGCAGAGAGCCUGCCCACCCGUCAGGGACAUGACACGCACGCGGCAUGGGCUGGGCGUCGCACCACCAAUGCUCCACGACACACAAACACAAAAGGACCUUGUGAGCCGCAAGCUUUAUGGGUCUUUCGAAUUCACCGUCCACAGGUCAUAAAAGGUAACGCGUCAACGGCCCAGUAUCGGCCUGCAGAUUGGUGGUCCAACAAGUACACAUGGCACGUGUCCUGUCUCGAGCAUACGAACACCC